rnacentral:rRNA from 1 species
CNCCAGUGGCGAAAGCGGCUCUCUGNUCUGUCGCUGACGCUGAGGCUCGAAAGCGUGGGUAGCGANCAGGAUUAGAUACCCUGGUAGUCCACGCCGUAAACGAUGAGUGCUAGGUGUUAGGCCCUUUCCGGGGCUUAGUGCCGGAGCUAACGCAAUAAGCACUCCGCCUGGGGAGUACGACCGCAAGGUUGAAACUCAAAGGAAUUGACGGGGGCCCGCACAAGCGGUGGAGCAUGUGGUUUAAUUCGAAGCUACGCGAGGAACCUUACCAGGUCUUGACAUCCCGAUGCUAUUCUUAGAGAUAGGAAGUUACUUCGGUACAUCGGAGACAGGUGGUGCAUGGUUGUCGUCAGCUCGUGUCGUGAGAUGUUGGGUUAAGUCCCGCAACGAGCGCAACCCUUAUUGUUAGUUGCCAUCAUUAAGUUGGGCACUCUAGCGAGACUGCCGGUAAUAAACCGGAGGAAGGUGGGGAUGACGUCAAAUCAUCAUGCCCCUUAUGACCUGGGCUACACACGUGCUACAAUGGUCGGUACAACGAGUUGCGAGCCGGUGACGGCAAGCUAAUCUCUGAAAGCCGAUCUCAGUUCGGAUUGGAGGCUGCAACUCGCCUCCAUGAAGUCGGAAUCGCUAGUAAUCGCGGAUCAGCACGCCGCGGUGAAUACGUUCCCGGGCCUUGUACACACCGCCCGUCACACCACG